ACAUGCGACCAUAUCCACAAGAAAAUAUCGGAUCCCGUUCGCUCUCCUGUAAUCAAGCUUGUGAGAGGGUAGUUAGUAGUUGGGUCGGUGACGA
rnacentral:rRNA from 1 species